UUGGCCCUAAUCAAGACCAGCUUGCUUGCAGUAGCUGCUGGUUUCAAAGUGAGCCAACAUAAAAUCCUUCCUGUGGUCUGUUGGUGUUCCCAGUGUUCAAAGGAGCUAAUCAAUUCAGUUGGAAGGUACAAUU